GACGAACGCUGGCGGCGUGCCUAACACAUGCAAGUCGAGCGAGGUCCAACCGGUGCUUGCACCGGUGAAGACCUAGCGGCGAACGGGUGAGUAACACGUGAGAAACCUGCCCCGAAGUCCGGGAUAACCCGGGGAAACCCGAGCUAAUACCGGAUACCUUCAUCGGACCGCAUGGUCUGAUGAAGAAGAACUUCGCUUCGGGAGGGUCUCGCGGCCUAUCAGUUAGUUGGUGGGGUAACGGCCUACCAAGACGACGACGGGUAGCUGGUCUGAGAGGACGAUCAGCCACACUGGGACUGAGACACGGCCCAGACUCCUACGGGUGGCAG
rnacentral:rRNA from 1 species